rnacentral:rRNA from 1 species
UACAGAGGGUGCGAGCGUUAAUCGGAGUUACUGGGCGUAAAGGGCGCGUAGGCGGAUAGAUAAGUGUGAUGUGAAAGCCCCGGGCUUAACCUGGGAAGAGCAUCGCAAACGAUGUAUCUGGAGUAUAUGAGAGGGUGGCGGAAUUUCCGGUGUAGCGGUGAAAUGCGUAGAGAUCGGAAGGAACGUCGAUGGCGAAGGCAGCCACCUGGCAUAAUACUGACGCUGAGGCGCGAAAGCGUGGGGAGCGAACAGG